GAACCCGGGAGGUGGAGCUUGCAGUGAGCCGAGAUCGCGCCACUGCACUGCAGCCUGGGCGACAGAGUGAGACUCUGUCUCAAAAAAGAAAAAAAAAAAAGAUAAAAUUACCAGAAAAUAUUAAACAGGCAGCACUGAGAAGUGAAGGAAUAUUUGGGAGGAUCAGAAGCUUGGUCCUGAUUUUGCCAUCAACAGGAACUUGAUGACUUCAAGGGAGUCCCCAAACCCUGGGUUUCUGUUUUCUCAACUCUAACAUGAGGGGCUAGAUGCAUCUGGUUUAGUUAGUCUCCAUGAUGGUUUAGUUCGUCUCCAUGAUCCUGUGAAUUUCAGAUGUUGAAAAUCUUCGGAAAAGCCCUGAAAGAUGAACAGUGGUCUCAAAUAGUCAAGACCCCCUGCUGGGAGGAGCUUCUAUCCUGCUCUGUGGAA
rnacentral:lncRNA from 1 species